rnacentral:rRNA from 1 species
AGACCCGAAACCCGGUGAUCUAGCCAUGGGCAGGUUGAAGGUUGGGUAACACUAACUGGAGGACCGAACCGACUAAUGUUGAAAAAUUAGCGGAUGACCUGUGGCUGGGGGUGAAAGGCCAAUCAAACCGGGAGAUAGCUGGUUCUCCCCGAAAGCUAUUUAGGUAGCGCCUCGUGAAUUCAUCUCCGGGGGUAGAGCACUGUUUCGGCUAGGGGGCCAUCCCGGCUUACCAACCCGAUGCAAACUGCGAAUACCGGAGAAUGUUAUCACGGGAGACACACGGCGGGUGCUAACGUCCGUCGUGAAGAGGGAAACAACCCAGACCGCCAGCUAAGGUCCCAAAGUCAUGGUUAAGUGGGAAACGAUGUGGGAAGGCCCAGACAGCCAGGAUGUUGGCUUAGAAGCAGCCAUCAUUUAAAGAAAGCGUAAUAGCUCACUGGUCGAGUCGGCCUGCGCGGAAGAUGUAACGGGGCUAAACCAUGCACCGAAGCUGCGGCAGCGACACUGUGUGUUGUUGGGUAGGGGAGCGUUCUGUAAGCCUGUGAAGGUGUGUCGUGAGGCAUGCUGGAGGUAUCAGAAGUGCGAAUGCUGACAUAAGUAACGAUAAAGCGGGUGAAAAGCCCGCUCGCCGGAAGACCAAGGGUUCCUGUCCAACGUUAAUCGGGGCAGGGUGAGUCGACCCCUAAGGCGAGGCCGAAAGGCGUAGUCGAUGGGAAACGGGUUAAUAUUCCCGUACUUGGUGUUACUGCGAAGGGGGGACGGAGAAGGCUAUGUUGGCCGGGCGACGGUUGUCCCGGUUUAAGCGUGUAGGUGUGUGUUCCAGGUAAAUCCGGUUCACUUUAACACUGAGGCGUGACGACGAGGCACUACGGUGCUGAAGCAACAAAUGCCCUGCUUCCAGGAAAAGCCUCUAAGCAUCAGGUAACAUCAAAUCGUACCCCAAACCGACACAGGUGGUCAGGUAGA